rnacentral:snRNA from 1 species
GUGGGCUCCCCAUUCGACCCGU